AUUGAACGCUGGCGGCAGGCCUAACACAUGCAAGUCGAGCGGCAGCGGGAAGUAGCUUGCUACUUUGCCGGCGAGCGGCGGAUGGGUGAGUAAUGUCUGGGAAACUGCCUGAUGGAGGGGGAUAACUACUGGAAACGGUAGCUAAUACCGCAUAACGUCGCAAGACCAAAGAGGGGGACCUUCGGGCCUCUUGCCAUCAGAUGUGCCCAGAUGGGAUUAGCUAGUAGGUGGGGUAAUGGCUCACCUAGGUGACGAUCCCUAGCUGGUCUGAGAGGAUGACCAGCCACACUGGAACUGAGACACGGUCCAGACUCCUACGGGAGGCAGCAGUGGGGAAUAUUGCACAAUGGGCGCAAGCCUGAUGCAGCCAUGCCGCGUGUAUGAAGAAGGCCUUCGGGUUGUAAAGUGCUUUCAGCGGGGAGGAAGGUGUUGAGGUUAAUAACCUCAGCAAUUGACGUUACCCGCAGAAGAAGCACCGGCUAACUCCGUGCCAGCCGCCGCAGUAA
rnacentral:rRNA from 1 species